GGAGCUGAUUGAGUGCGAUGUUUUCAAAUCAGUUGCCGUUCGCACGUAUCUGCAGUGGGUUGUUGCCCAGAUUGGAUAAAUAAAAAAAAAAAAUUAAUAAAAAUUUAUAUAAAAUUAUAAAAAAAUAUAUAAUUAAAACAACAUCAGCAUUACUGAGAUACAACUUUUUUUUAAUAAAAAGACUUGUUUGUUAUUGUUAUAAAAAAAAGAAAUAAAAAUUUAAGAUUUUUUUAUAAAAAAAAAGAAAAAUAUUUAAUGAGAUUUUGUAAAAAAGGAAAUAAUUAAAAGUUCAACGAAAAAAGAAAAGUUUAAAAAACGAGUUUUGAGGAUAAAGUUAUAAAUAAAAGUCAAUUUAUGUUGAAUAUUGAAAUUUCGAAAAUAUUUUACUUAAAAGUGAUAAUAAAGUGAUAAAAUUUGUUUUUUAUUUCCUUUCAAAAAGAGUGUCUUGUUGUGAUAAAUUUUUGAGCAAAUCGGAAAUUGUAUACAAUUUUUGGGUGUAUAGAUAUUUUUGUGUUGUUGUUAUUAUUAAACAAAAAGCAAAAAUUUGCAGUAAAUAGAUAAGAUUGUGUUGCAGAUACAAGAAAAGUAUCUUAUAAAAAUUUUGAACUUUUGUUUAAAAAAAGCUGCAAAAUUUAAAAAAAUUUCAGUGCUAAAAAUACUAAUUUAUUUAUUUAACAAUAUCACAAGUUAAAAACAAAUAAAGUUAAAUUUUUAUAUAAAAUAUAGCAAAUAAAAGAAAAAGUUAAAGCAAAUAAAUAAACAAGGUGUGGACCGGUUUCUAUUAUAAUUCUUUAUUUUAAAACGUUUCAUUAAAUGAAAUGAUGUUGUCAUUAAAUUUGAAUUAAAUAAAAAACUAAGCAAAUAUUUAGCUAAAUUUGUAGCUUAAAUACAAUUUGUAUAGAACAAAAUACGUGUCAAGCUUUAUUUUUGGAAAAAUCAAUAAAAUUCUACCAAAAAAAAAAAACAACAAACACAUCUAACAAUAACCCACCAGACCAAACAACUAGGCUUUAAACAGCUCCUAUAGCCAAAAAGUAAUAAUACAAAUAAACAACAACAGCAACAAUAUUUUUAUAACAAACUAGCUUUAACCAAAUAAGAAAGCAAAAAAAAAAAUCCCAAUUCACUCAAACAUUGCAAUACUACUUGGACUUCAAGAGAUUCCCAACCUCACCCAAAAACAAUCAUAAACUACAGGCACCCUUAAGAAAAGCGAAGAAAAACUCUGCUAAAUGUCAACAAAAUAAACUUUCAACAGCUGUUUUUUGUUUUUCUCUCUUUUCAUUUUCCUUUGGAAAACAAAGAGCGAGCGUGUUUGAAGGAGUGACAACAGGGAGAGGAAGGUUAGAAACAAACAGGAAGGUGUGUUUGUUAGUAAAAGGAUAAAGUUGCGGAUUUUGCUGUUAAUGGAGGCAUUAGUUAUGCUUGUUAAUUAGACUACGAGCGACAUUGCACGAGAAAAGUUAAGGCAGUUAAUAAAAAUACAAAUUUUUGGCUGAAAUAUUUUUAAAUAAAAACAAGUCUUAAGAAAAAGAUAAAAAUUACAAUAAUACAAUAAAUAAUUAAAUAAAUGGUGUUUUUUUUAAAAAGAUUCAAUAAGUUCAAAUUAAAAAAGUGCCAAUGAAAUAGAAAAAAAGUGGAGAAAAGCAGAAGAACCGGCAGUUUUUUUAUAAUAAUU